rnacentral:rRNA from 1 species
GCGCAGCAGGCGAGAAAACUUCACAAUGUGCGAAAGCACGAUGAGGGAAUCCCAAGUGCUUGCACGUAAGUGUAAGCUGUUUCUCUGUCUAAAACGCAGAGGGAGUAAGGGCUGGGUAAGACGGGUGCCAGCCGCCGCGGUAAUACCUGCAGCUCGAGUGGUGACCGUUAUUAUUGGGCCUAAAACGUCCGUAGCCGGUUUAAUAAAUGCCUGGGUAAAUCGGACCGCUUAACGGUUCGAAUUCCGGGUAGACUGUUAAACUUGAGACCGGGAGAAGUUAGAGGUACUCCUGGGGUAGAGGUGAAAUUCUGUAAUCCUAGGGGGACCACCAGUGGCGAAGGCGUCUAACUAGAACGGGUCUGACGGUGAGGGACGAAGCCCUGGGGCGCAAACGGGA